UCUGUUAUAGAUGUAUGAUCUUUUGCUAAUUUUGAAAUAAAGAUAAAUUAGUAGAUCAGUUCCACUUUUAUGCAAAUGAGCUUAAUUAUGAUGUAUUCAUGGCUUUUAAAUCAGAACAUGAGCUCACUCUACAUGUCAUUAGUUAAAGGAUCAUAUAACUCCUCUUGGUUUGUUUUCAAUCUCAUAAAAGAUUACUGAUUUUUCAAGCUUCUUCCGGCUUACAGAGUCGUUAGGUGCCUUCUAAUUGGUAACAGAUUUUGCAAUUUCUCAUCUAGUAGCAUUGAUUGUUUGAAUAUCUUACUUCCAUAUCAAGAUUUCUCAUUUUUCUGUUCCCUCUUUUCCUUUUUUCCUUUGUGAUUUUCACUGUUUAUAAGGAUACUAAUUCAUAUACAAAAGAAGGAGAAGAAGAAGAAUAAAGAAGCCGCUCAGGAAGGAAGAAGUGCAGCCACUUCAGCUGCUUACAAAACAUUGGCACAGGAGUUCAUUGAACAGUGGUUUCCUUCUCCCCGUAUCCUGGCAUUCAAAGACAUGCCUCAACAAUUGAAAGUGAGGCUUCUAGAAGAGGUGGGAGAGCACGAUAGAGAACGAAU